rnacentral:misc_RNA from 1 species
AUCAGGUAUGUCAUAUAGCAACCAAGGCAUCUAUAAUUAAGGGAAUUGCACUUUGGUUUAACCACAGAUUUGAACCAAAUAUUAAACCUUCCCAUCUACCGACUGCAUCCAUUAUGUUUCUAUGAGGCAUACUUCCAGUUAUGGAUGGUAGGGUUGUGAGGGUUCACACUUUUUAUUAUUAUCAUUAGACUAUUAGUACAAUAGAAAAUUUGAGGCAAGAGGAAAAGACAUUACUACUGCAAUUUAAAAGAGUGGAUAAUAAUUAAUACUCCAAGCUUAUUGUUCGGAAAAGUCCUCGAACUGGUAAAUAUCUUCUUGCCUUUGUUUAUCAAGUGGAAAUGUCUCCCUUCCAAAUUGAAUAUCAGAAUAAUCAUUCUCAGCAACCAGCACAGCUUCUUCAUGCCCACAAGUUGCAAUUAUCUCACCCAACUGUUGCGCAGAGAUCAAACUAUUAUCAGAUCAGUAAAUUGAAAGAAGGGCAAUUGCUGUUGAUCAUUGUUCUUUUUGUUAGUAGGAGGUCAGAGAAGUGGAAACUCGAAUUUGAGUAUGCUAAGUGAGUAAUAUGUCUUCAACCAUCGGACCAUGUCAAGCUAGGCAUUGAUCAUUGUUUUUUUGAAGUACUCAAAUAAUGCUGUUAAAAUUAGUAUUCAUUAAUGUUCUGUAGAUGAAUUACCGGUCCAACAAGAGUAGAAUGACCCCAUAUAGGAUAGCAGCCAGCAGAAUCUCGAGAAGGCGAACAAGUAGCUACGAAUAACUUACUCCCAAACAGCUCAAUAUCCAAGUUAAACUUAAAUUCAGGCAAGCGUACAAGGAGUUUGAGGAGAAAAUAAAUGCCAGAGUCACCUGGUUAUCAGCAGCCCUGAAAAUUUCAAGUAAUGGAAAUUUGUUGUUGCAACUAACAAUUUUCUGUUUUGGUCACAAUAUAUAUAUACACUAAAAUAUUAACUAGUUCCUGGAAUUCUCACCUUGCUCUCUGAACCACCUCCCACAACAUUUCACCUGUGCUCAUAUUGAAUGCCCCUGGAUAGCAUAUAAUGUGGGCACCUGCAAUUUCACUACACAAGUGUGUUUUUGUUGCCUAGAAAGAUAAAUAUGUAUAUCUUUGCAUAAUGAGACAUGAAUUCAUAUUCAUAGAUAAUAGGGUAGAACAAAUACUCAAUUAUAUGUUCAAAACCUUUGGUUCUAUAUAACAUUGCUAGUUCAGGGAAGCGAAUAUCAUGGCAAACUCCCACUCCAAUGCAGUUCAGGGAAGCGAAUAUCAUGACAAACUCCCACUCCAAUGCAGCCAAUAUCUGUGUCUAGAAUGGUAAGAUUUUCUCCAACAGCAAAGGUGUCAGAUUCCUUGAACGAAAUAUCUCCUGGAAUUUCAAUAUCAAACAGAUGAACCUAUGCUUAGCCUUGAGCUUUCCCUGAGGUCAAAAUAUACAGCAAGUAUUGUACAGCUGACCCUUAUUCCAUUCAGGCAUAGACCCACCAACAAUUGUGAUUCCAUGGAAAGAAGCAGCUUCUGAUAACAUAGAAAAGGACGGCGAGGCUUCAUCAUCAAAAUCCUCAGCAAAUUUAGCAAAGUAAUCACUUGAAUAAGGGCAGUUCCACAUUUCCUUUCUUAGCAGCAAAUCUGAUGGUAUUAUAGGCUUGAAUUAUGUUUCGAUUCUUGUCUAAAGAAACAGAUAAUUGGCAGAGAGCAAGUUUGAA